GAUGAAUGCUGGCGGCGUGGAUAAGGCAUGCAAGUCAAGGGGGCCGCAAGGCAACCGGCAGACGAGGUAGUAACACGUAGGUAGAUGCUCCGGAGUCGGGCAUAGCCAGCCGAAAGGUUGGGUAAUUCCCGAUGGUCCCGAAAGGGUAAAGGUUUUUCGCUCCGGAAGUCGCCUGCGCAGUAUCAGCUAGUUGGUAGGGUAAUGGCCUACCAAGGCUACGACGCUUAGGGGAGCUGAGAGGCUGACCCCCACCGAUGGGACUGAGAGACGGCCCAUACUCCUACGGGAGGCCGCAGUCGAGAAUCUUCCGCAAUGGGCGAAAGCCUGACGGAGCGACGCCGCGUGCUGGACGAAGUGCUUCGGUACGUAAACAGCUUUUAUGAGGGACGAAAUUAUUGACGGUACCUCAUGAAUAAGGGGCUCCUAACUCUGUGCCAGCAGGAGCGGUAAUACAGAGGCCCCAAGCAUUAUCCGGAAUCACUGGGCGUAAAGGGUGUCGAGGCGGCCAUGUUAGUCGUUCGUGAAAUCCGCGGGCUUAACCUGCGGCGUGCGAGCGAAACGGCAUGGCUCGAGAUUGGGAGAGGUGCGUGGAACUCACGGUGUAGGGGUGAAAUCCGUUGAUAUCGUGGGGAACACCAAAGGCGAAGGCAGCGCACUGGCCCCAUUUCUGACGCUCACACACGAAAGCUAGGGUAGCGAACGGGAUUAGAUACCCCGGUAGUCCUAGCCCUAAACGUUGCUCGCUCGCUUUGCGGAGUAUCGACCCUCUGCGAGGCUAAGCUAACGCGGUAAGCGAGCCGCCUGGGUAGUACGAGCGCAAGCUUAAAACUCAAAGGAAUAGACGGGGACUCGCACAAGCGGUGGAUAAUGUGGCUUAAUUCGUCGACAAGCGAAGAACCUUACCAGGGUUAGAAAUCCAGCUGCAUCCGACCCGAAAGGGACGGAGCCUUCGAGGGUGCUGGACAGGUGAUGCAUGGUCGUCGUCAGUUCGUGGUUUGAACUGUUCCCUUCAGUGGGGUAACGAACGCAACCCCCGUUGCCUGUUAUAUAUGUCAGGCGAGACUGCUCCCUCACGGGAGAGGAAGGUGGGGAUGACGCCAGAUCAGCAUGUCCCUCUGAUACCCUGGGCUGCACACGUUAUACAAUGGCCGGUACAAAAGGAUGCAAUACCGUAAGGUGGAGCAAAUCCCGAAAACCGGCCCCAGUACGGAUCGAGGUCUGCAACCGACCUCGUGAAGCCGGAAUCGCUAGUAAUUGUGGGUCAGCCAUACCACAGUGAAUACGUUCUCGAGUCUUGUACUCACCGC
rnacentral:rRNA from 1 species